AUUGAACGCUGGCGGAAUGCUUUACACAUGCAAGUCGAACGGCAGCACGGGUGCUUGCACCUGGUGGCGAGUGGCGAACGGGUGAGUAAUACAUCGGAACGUACCCAGUUGUGGGGGAUAACUAACCGAACGGUUAGCUAAUACCGCAUACGACCUGAGGGUGAAAGCGGGGGACCGUACGGCCUCGCGCAAUUGGAGCGGCCGAUGUCUGAGUAGCUAGGUGGUGAGGUAAAGGCUCACCAAGGCGACGAUCAGUAGCAGGUCUGAGAGGAUGAUCUGCCACACUGGAACUGAGACACGGUCCAGACUCCUACGGGAGGCAGCAGUGGGGAAUGUUGGACAAUGGGGGAAACCCUGAUCCAGCCAUUCCGCGUGAAUGAAGAAGGCCUUCGGGUUGUAAAGCUCUUUCGGCAGGGAAGAAACGCUCUGGAAUAAUACUCCGGGGUAAUGACGGUACCUGAAGAAGAAGCACCGGCUAACUACGUGCCAGCCGCCGCAGUAAGAC
rnacentral:rRNA from 1 species